GCCCUAUACCUGAGGUGGUAGAGGUACGGACUUUUAAUCCGCAGGCCGUCGGUAUCGCGGCUACUGGGCA
rnacentral:tRNA from 3 species